rnacentral:rRNA from 1 species
AUUGAACGCUGGCGGCAGGCUUAACACAUGCAAGUCGAGCGGGGGAAGGUAGCUUGCUACCGGACCUAGCGGCGGACGGGUGAGUAAUGCUUAGGAAUCUGCCUAUUAGUGGGGGACAACAUCUCGAAAGGGAUGCUAAUACCGCAUACGUCCUACGAGAGAAAGCAGGGGAUCUUCGGACCUUGCGCUAAUAGAUGAGCCUAAGUCGGAUUAGCUAGUUGGUGGGGUAAAGGCCUACCAAGGCGACGAUCUGUAACGGGUCUGAGAGGAUGAUCCGCCACACUGGGACUGAGACACGGCCCAGACUCCUACGGGAGGCAGCAGUGGGGAAUAUUGGACAAUGGGGGGAACCCUGAUCCAGCCAUGCCGCGUGUGUGAAGAAGGCCUUAUGGUUGUAAAGCACUUUAAGCGAGGAGGAGGCUACUUUAGUUAAUACCUAGAGAUAGUGGACGUUACUCGCAGAAUAAGCACCGGCCAACUCUGUGCCAGCAGCCGCAGUAA